rnacentral:rRNA from 1 species
UACGAAGGGGGCUAGCGUUGCUCGGAAUCACUGGGCGUAAAGCGCGCGUAGGCGGCCUGCUAAGUCUGGUGUGAAAGGUUCAGGGCUCAACCCGAACAGUGCACUGGAUACUGGCAGGCUUGAGAUCGGGAGAGGAGAGUGGAAUUCCUGGUGUAGCGGUGAAAUGCGUAGAUAUGUGGAGGAACACCAGUGGCGAAGGCGGCUCUCUGGUCUGCAACUGACGCUGAGGCGCGAAAGCGUGGAUAGCAAACAGG